rnacentral:lncRNA from 1 species
UGGGUGAUCUAAGGUACUCCAGAAGGGUAAGUAGAUCCUGCUUCAAAUGUGGCACCCGUCAUGUUGCCCAUGUAAGUUUAAACCUAUUAGACUAAUUGGGUCGGUCACAUUCUAGAAAAGGGAUUGUAGUUACCACAGAAGGAACAUAUCCUUUAUCAUUUGUGAAACAGAUAUUCCAUAACGGUCAACCAAGCUGACAUAUUAUACAAGACACUUAAUUUUCGAUUGUUGGAGACCAUACUUUUUGAGUAAUUGAAUUGCUGUCUAAUUGAUAAAAGAUGUAGGAUUGUUU